GACGAACGCUGGCGGCGUGUCUAAUACAUGCAAGUAGAACGCUGAAGGAGGAGCUUGCUUCUCUGGAUGAGUUGCGAACGGGUGAGUAACGCGUAGGUAACCUGCCUGGUAGCGGGGGAUAACUAUUGGAAACGAUAGCUAAUACCGCAUAAGAGUAGAUGUUGCAUGACAUUUGCUUAAAAGGUGCACUUGCAUCACUACCAGAUGGACCUGCGUUGUAUUAGCUAGUUGGUGAGGUAACGGCUCACCAAGGCAACGAUACAUAGCCGACCUGAGAGGGUGAUCGGCCACACUGAGACUGAGACACGGCCCAGACUCCUACGGGAGGCAGCAGUAGGGAAUCUUCGGCAAUAGACGGAAGUCUGACCGAGCAACGCCGCGUGAGUGAAGAAGGUUUUCGGAUCGUAAAGCUCUGUUGUAAGAGAAGAACGAGUGUGAGAGUGGAAAGUUCACACUGUGACGGUAUCUUACCAGAAAGGGACGGCUAACUACGUG
rnacentral:rRNA from 1 species